UACGUAGGGGCCAAGCGUUGUCCGGAUUUAUUGGGCGUAAAGAGCUCGUAGGCGGUUCGGCAAGUCGAAUGUGAAAUCUCCACGCUCAACGUGGAGGGGUCAUUCGAUACUGCCGUGACUCGAGUCCGGUAGGGGAGUGUGGAAUUCCCGGUGUAGCGGUGAAAUGCGCAGAUAUCAGGAAGAACACCAAUGGCGAAGGCAGCUCUCUGGGACGGUACUGACGCUGAGACGCGAAAGCGUGGGGAGCGAACAGG
rnacentral:rRNA from 1 species